rnacentral:rRNA from 1 species
GUUUGAUCCUGGCUCAGAUUGAACGCUGGCGGCGUGCCUAACACAUGCAAGUCGAGCGGUAACAGGUGUAGCAAUACAUGCUGACGAGCGGCGAACGGGUGAGUAAUGCUUCGGAAUCUACCUUAUGGUGGGGAAUAACUAGCCGAAAGGUUAGCUAAUACCGCAUACCUCCUACGGGAGGCAGCAGUACUGCUGCCUCCCGUAGGAGGUCCUGAGCCAGGAUCAAACUCU